UACGGGGGGAGCAAGCGUUGUUCGGAUUUACUGGGCGUAAAGGGCGCGUAGGCGGCCACCGCAAGUCGACUGUGAAAUCUCCGGGCUUAACCCGGAAAGGUCAGCCGAUACUGCGGGGCUAGAGUGCAGAAGGGGCAACUGGAAUUCUCGGUGUAGCGGUGAAAUGCGUAGAUAUCGAGAGGAACACCUGCGGCGAAGGCGGCUCACUGGCCCGUAACUGACGCUGAGGUGCGAAAGCGUGGGGAGCAAACAGG
rnacentral:rRNA from 1 species